rnacentral:rRNA from 1 species
UACAGAGGUCUCAAGCGUUGUUCGGAUUCAUUGGGCGUAAAGGGUGCGUAGGCGGCGCGGUAAGUCGGGUGUGAAAUCUUGGAGCUUAACUCCGAAACUGCAUUCGAUACUGCCGCGCUUGAGGACUGGAGAGGAGACUGGAAUUUACGGUGUAGCGGUGAAAUGCGUAGAUAUCGUAAGGAAGACCAGUGGCGAAGGCGGGUCUCUGGACAGUUCCUGACGCUGAGGCACGGAGGCCAGGGGAGCAAACGGG